UGAACGCUGGCGGCGUGCUUAAUACAUGCAAGUCGAACGAAGAUGUUCUUGAGUUUACUCGAGAGCUCUUAGUGGCGAACGGGUGAGUAACGCGUUGGUGACCUGCCCUAAAGAAGGGAACAACCUCGGGAAACUGAGACUAAUACCCUAUGUGCUUCUUAAGAUUAGAUGCUUUUGAAGUAAAGGUUCUGUGGACGAAAGGACACAGUGCCACUUUAGGAGGGGCCUGCGUACCAUCAGCUAGUUGGUAGGGUAAUGGCCUACCAAGGCGAUGACGGUUAGGGGACCUGAGAGGGUGACCCCCCACACUAGCACUGAAACACGGGCUAGACACCUACGGGUGGCAGCAGUAGGGAAUCUUGCACAAUCGACGAAAGUCUGAUGCAGCAACGCCGCGUGUGCGAUGAAGGCCUUCGGGUUGUAAAGCACUUUUCUGAGGGAAGAGAAAGGACUGUACCUCAGGAAUAAGUCUCGGCUAACUAC
rnacentral:rRNA from 1 species